rnacentral:rRNA from 1 species
CCUACGGGUGGCAGCAGUGAGGAAUAUUGGUCAAUGGCCGGAAGGCUGAACCAGCCAUGCCGCGUGAAGGUCAGUGCCCCAUGGGCGUUAAACUUCUUUUGUGCGGGAGCAAUAAUGGUCACGUGUGGCCAGACGAGAGUACCGUACGAAUAAGCAUCGGCCAACUCCGGUCCAGCAGCCGCGGUAAUUCGGGGGAUUCAAGCGGUAUCCGGAUUUUAUGGGUUUAAAGGGAGCGUAGAUGGGUUGUGAAGUUAGUUGGGAAAGUUUGCGGCUCAAACGUAAAAUUGCAAUUGAUUAUGGCAGUCUUGAGUACAGUUGAGGUAGGCGGAAUUCGUGGUGUAGCGGUGAAAUGCUUAGAUAGCACGAAGAACUCCGAUUGCGAAGGCAGCUUACUAAACUGCCACUGACAUUGAUGCUCGAAAGUGUGGGUAUCAAACAGGAUUAGAUACCCGAGUAGUC